AACGAACGCUGGCGGCGUGCCUAACACAUGCAAGUCGAGCGCGAAAAGGGCAACCUGAGUAGAGCGGCGCACGGGUGCGUAACACGUGGGUAAUCUGCCUUAGAGUCGAGGAUAACCUUCCGAAAGGUUGGCUAAUACUUGGUAAGCUUACGGUGUCUUCGGACGCUGUGGGAAAAGUAGGCCUCUGUUUACAAGCUUACGCUCUGAGAUGAGUCCGCGGCCCAUCAGCUAGUUGGCGGUGUAACGGACCACCAAGGCAACGACGGGUAGCUGGUCUGAGAGGACGAUCAGCCACACUGGAACUGAGACACGGUCCAGACUCCUACGGGAGGCAGCAGUGGGGAAUUUUCCACAAUGGGCGAAAGCCUGAUGGAGCAACGCCGCGUGUGUGAUGAAGGUUUUCGGAUCGUAAAGCACUUUCGACUGGGACGAAAAACCUUUGGCUAACAUCCAGGGGCCUGACGGUACCAGGAGAAGAAGCACCGGCUAACUCUGUGCCAGCAGCCGCCGUAACAC
rnacentral:rRNA from 1 species